rnacentral:rRNA from 1 species
UGCCAGCAGCCGCGGUAAUACGGAGGGUACAAACGUUAAUCGGAAUUACUGGGCGUAAAGCGCGCGUAGGUGGUUUAUUAAGUGGGAUGUGAAAGCCCCGGGCUCAACCUGGGAACUGCAUUCCAAACUGAUGAACUAGAGUACGAUAGAGGGGGGUAGAAUUCAGAGUGUAGCGGUGAAAUGCGUAGAUAUUCUGAGGAAUACCGGUGGCGAAGGCGGCCCCCUGGAUUGAUACUGACACUGAGGUGCGAAAGCGUGGGGAGCAAACAGGAUUAGAUA